AGCGGUUGAUUGCGAGGAGCAGCGGAAGGAAGGAUGUAUCAAACCGAAAGAAGAAAGAACCCCUGCCAGUCGCCCCCAUGAUAUCCGACUCUGAACGCAGCGAUCUCGAGGCUGCGGCGUGUCGCAGAUUAACAGCAGCGAGGGCAGGAGGCAAAUCAGAUGCUGCAAGAGCUGACUGUUUUCUUUAGCCCUGAGAGCUGACUGUAGGCACAGGUUGCAUAUCAAAGGCAACAGGAAUCAGUCUGUGGCAAUAUUACAUCAGGGACCUUUUCAGUAGAGCCUCUUAAGACACAUGUUUUGGAAUGCAGUCAAAUGCGUGCUGCUGUAUAACCAGCCUAUUUGAACUGCUUAAGCAUCAACUAAUUAAUCUGCAAGUGAAGAAUACUUCCAGCAUUACUCUAUAAUUAGACAAUCUCAGGAGGAAACAAGAGGAUUUCAAAGGGGAGUCAGAUAGUUUUGCACACCGCUACCUCAUUUAUUUUUUCAUUGCUCAGAUUAUGCCUCCAAAUCCUAUGGAAGUGUAACAGCCAUAGAGCAGACAAACACCAACAGCAUCAACAACAGAGAAACUCAGUCCAGGAGGAUAUGAAACCCUUUGUAAUAAAGAAAACAACAGCCAUGAA